rnacentral:lncRNA from 1 species
UGGGGCUUGCACUGAUGGCCUCUCGUGUAACGCUCAUCACAGUUGAAACAUAGAUUCUUAUCUCUGCGAACCUGCAUCUCUGCCUCGGUGAGGCGUUUAAUGGGAAUUUUGUUGGUGGGUGUAGGCAACAGCGGAGGAAGUGGUUUAGGUGGGAUAGAUGGAGAAAGUGACAAUGGUGGUGGGGGGGUGGGUGUACGACCAAAACAGUUGAGAGGAGG